rnacentral:rRNA from 1 species
UACGUAGGGCGCAAGCGUUAUCCGGAAUUAUUGGGCGUAAAGAGCUCGUAGGCGGUUUGUCGCGUCUGCCGUGAAAGUCCGGGGCUCAACCCCGGAACUGCCGUUGAUACUGGCGGGCUUGAGUUCGGUCGAGGCGGGCGGAACUGGUGGUGUAGCGGUGAAAUGCGCAGAUAUCAGGAGGAACACCGAUGGCGAAGGCAGGUCUCUGGGCAUUAACUGACGCUGAGGAGCGAAAGCAUGGGGAGCGAACAGG